rnacentral:tRNA from 1 species
GUCUCGGUAGGGUAAGUUAUAGAGCACGGUGCCCGGAAAGCACAAGUACGGGUUCGAGUCCCGUCCGAGACU